rnacentral:tRNA from 1 species
GGUAGAGCAAAGGACUGAAAAUCCUUGUGUCGCCGGUUCGAUCCCGGCCCA